UGGGGAAUAUUGGACAAUGGGCGCAAGCCUGAUCCAGCCAUGCCGCGUGUGUGAAGAAGGCCUUUUGGUUGUAAAGCACUUUAAGCGAGGAGGAGGCUACUUGGAUUAAUACUCUAGGAUAGUGGACGUUACUCGCAGAAUAAGCACCGGCUAACUCUGUGCUAGCAGCCGCGGUAAUACAGAGGGUGCGAGCGUUAAUCGGAUUUACUGGGCGUAAAGCGUGCGUAGGCGGCUUUUUAAGUCGGAUGUGAAAUCCCUGAGCUUAACUUAGGAAUUGCAUUCGAUACUGGGAAGCUAGAGUAUGGGAGAGGAUGAUAGAAUUCCAGGUGUAGCGGUGAAAUGCGUAGAGAUCUGGAGGAAUACCGAUGGCGAAGGCAGCCAUCUGGCCUAAUACUGACGCUGAGGUACGAAAGCAUGGGGAGCAAACAGG
rnacentral:rRNA from 1 species